GGCGCUAUCUCUAUUAUGGGCAUUCGCUUAUCUGUCAAAAUCGGCCGGUUACAUGUUUAUCUUUCGAAAGUAAAUCGCUAUAAUUUAAUAAUUGUUUCUCUUCAUAUUGGCAUAUUGUAGCAGUGAUGAUAGUGAUAUGGAAUUAUUUCAAAUGAUAAUGGAUUGUGAUGCAGAUAGUGAUAGUGAGGCCGAUAUCAUAUGGUUAGGAAAAUAAAGAUCGUCUGAAUUACAUGGCGAAGAUCAAUAAUUACGAAUUUGACUAUAGAUUUCUGAGCAAAGGUGUUGUGAAUGAAUUGAUUAAUUUAAUGAGACCAUAUUUGAGUGUAACGUCAAAAAGAUUCAAAUAUAGGAGAGGAAUUUAGAAAUAGAAAAAGAGUAUUUUGAAUGUGUAAUUUGUGUGCAAUGCAUCAUUGAUGUUUCAAAAUGUUGUUGCUUGAUGGCCUGGGUCUACUCAUGAUACAACUAUAAUUAACCAUUCCGAUUGAAAAGAUGCAUUGGUGUUUGUAAAAGAAGACUCCCUGUAUAUCAUUGAAAAGUAGAUUAAAACUAGAAAAUAUGCAAGCUGUUAUUAUAGCUGCCAUGCUGCAUAAUAUCGUCAGAAGUAUGAAUUUAGAAGAAUUAGAAUCAGAAAUUUCAGUCGCAGAUACAUUACAGGAAAAUAAUAUAAUUGUUCGUAACAAUUUUUCAAAACUUACAUCUGAAAUACAACUAUGUACUUAUAAAUAAUUGCUUCCAAAGAUAAUUUAUAAAAUAAACUCCAAAGAUAA